rnacentral:rRNA from 1 species
AUUGAACGCUGGCGGCAUGCCUUACACAUGCAAGUCGAACGGUAACAGGUCUUCGGAUGCUGACGAGUGGCGGACGGGUGAGUAAUACAUCGGAACGUGCCCGAGAGUGGGGGAUAACGAGGCGAAAGCUUUGCUGAUACCGCAUACGAUCUCAGGAUGAAAGCAGGGGACCGCAAGGCCUUGCGCUCACGGAGCGGCCGAUGGCAGAUUAGGGAGUUGGUGGGAUAAAAGCUUACCAAGCCGACGAUCUGUAGCUGGUCUGAGAGGACGACCAGCCACACUGGGACUGAGACACGGCCCAGACUCCUACGGGAGGCAGCAGUGGGGAAUUUUGGACAAUGGGCGCAAGCCUGAUCCAGCCAUGCCGCGUGCAGGAUGAAGGCCUUCGGGUUGUAAACUGCUUUUGUACGGAACGAAAAGACUCUGGUUAAUACCUGGGGUCCAUGACGGUACCGUAAGAAUAAGCACCGGCUAACUACAUGCCAGCCGCCGCGGUAAAAC